CUGUGGGCUGCUGUAUCGAGGUCUUCGGGUCGCGAUAUGGUGAAAAACAGUUCAGUCGCAUGACGAGACCUGUCAGGGAACCUUGAUGAUCUGCUAAUGGGUGCCAAAUAGAUCCAGAGACUGACUUGGGUAUAGGGCGAAAGACAAAUCGAACCAUCUAGUAGCUGGUUCCCUCCGAGGUUUCCUAGCUGGAGUUCUUCGCAGUUGUAUCCGGUAAGGCGAACGAUUAGAGGAUUUGGGGUCGAAACGACCUCAACCUCUUCUCAAACUUUCAAUGUGUAUGUUGUCUCGUUCUCUUCAUUGAACAGUUGACACGCAGGCGAGCUCCAUGUGGGUCAUUUCUGGUAAGCAGAAUUGGCGCUGCGACAUAAACCAAACUUUGGGUUAAGGUGCCUAACUUCUCGUUCGCAAAAGGCAAUGGUUGAUAUAGACAGCAGAACGAUGGCCAUGGAAGUUGGUGCCCGCUAAGGAGUGUGUAACAACUCUCCUGCCGAAUCAAGUAGCCCGGAAAAUGGAUGGUGCUUGAAUGAGAGACCUAUACCCAGCCGUUGCUGGCAUUCCUUAUAUGCAUACAUUACUAUAUUACUAUGUUAUCUUACUAUACUAUUACAACAUUCCUUAUAUACAUAGAAAUUA
rnacentral:ncRNA from 1 species